UACGUAGGGUCCGAGCGUUGUCCGGAUUUAUUGGGCGUAAAGAGCUCGUAGGCGGUUUGUCGCGUCUGCUGUGAAAACCCGAGGCUCAACCUCGGGCCUGCAGUGGGUACGGGCAAACUAGAGUGCGGUAGGGGAGAUUGGAAUUCCUGGUGUAGCGGUGGAAUGCGCAGAUAUCAGGAGGAACACCGAUGGCGAAGGCAGAUCUCUGGGCCGUAACUGACGCUGAGGAGCGAAAGCGUGGGGAGCGAACAGG
rnacentral:rRNA from 1 species